GGGGCUCUGGGGCUAGCGAGUGGCUCCGGUGCCGAGGCCAGCAGCUCCACCUACGGCCAGCUCGCUCCGGACGCAGUUUUCUCUCUGAGCUUCCAAACCUAUCAGGGAUGGAAGAAAACCGUCAUGUUCUGUGCCUCUUGCCCUUGUUCUGCCGUGAGGUCCAGCCGUCAAGGCUGAUUCUGUAUUCAAGACUGAGACUGUGGAUGCAAACUAGAAAACAUGCGUUUCAAGAACCUCUGCGCGCCCAACAGCUUCAGCCUGGGGAGUCCCCUGUCUAGGGUGCGUUCUCUGCAUCUGAUGUACAAGCACUCCCACUCUCUUUUGCUUGAUAAAGAAUAAAGGAAGACAAGUGGCAGCUGCCACAGGAGCAGACUGAAAACAAGCCUCGCCACACACCCCGGUCUUCACAAAGGCUGAUUCAGAGACGCGCGGCCGACAAACCGAGCAGCUGAGGACUUCGGCACAGUCACCUGCCCCAAUGUUAAUUGCACA
rnacentral:lncRNA from 1 species